rnacentral:rRNA from 1 species
UACAGAGGGUGCAAGCGUUAAUCGGAAUUACUGGGCGUAAAGCGUGCGUAGUCGGUUAUUUAAGUCGGGCGUGAAAGCCCCGGGCUCAACCUGGGAAUUGCGUUCGAUACUGGAUAGCUAGAGUGUGUCAGAGGAUGGUGGAAUUCCCGGUGUAGCGGUGAAAUGCGUAGAGAUCGGGAGGAACACCGGUGGCGAAGGCGGGUCUCUGGGCCGAUACUGACGCUGAGGCGCGAAAGCCAGGGGAGCGAACGGG